rnacentral:rRNA from 1 species
UACGAAGGGGGCUAGCGUUGUUCGGAAUUACUGGGCGUAAAGCGCGCGCAGGCGGCCUUUCAAGUCAGGGGUGAAAGCCCGGAGCUCAACUCCGGAAUUGCCUUUGAAACUGUCAGGCUCGAGUACGGGAGAGGAUAGUGGAAUUCCCAGUGUAGUGGUGAAAUACGUAGAGAUUGGGAAGAACACCAGUGGCGAAGGCGGCUAUCUGGACGGUUUCUGACGCUAAGACGCGAAAGCGUGGGGAGCAAACAGG